rnacentral:lncRNA from 1 species
AUGUCUCUGUCGAUCUUUAUGUCUGUCUGUCUGUCUCUGUCUUUAUGUUUGUGUGUCUGUCUCUCUCUAUCUUUAGGUCUGUCUGUCUCUCGCUAUCUUUAUGUCUGUCUGUCUGUCUGUCUAUCUUUAUGUCUGUCUGUCUCUAUCUUUAUGUCUGUCUGUCUGUCUCUUUGUCUGUCUGUCUCUUUGUCUGUCUGUCUCUCUAUCUUUAUGUCUGUCUGUCUGUCUCUGUCUUUAUGUCUGUUUGUCUGUCUAUCUCUCUAUCUUUAUGUCUGUCUGUCUGUCUGUCUUUAUGUCUGUUUGUCUGUCUGUCUGUCUCUCUAUCUUUAUGUCUGUCUGUCUCUAUCUUUAUGUCUGUCUGUCUGUCUCUCUGUCUUUAUGUCUAUCUGUCUGUCUCUCUAUCUUUAUGUAUGUCUGUCUGUCUCUGUCUUUAUGUCUGUUUGUCUGUCUCUCUAUCUUUGUCUGUCUCUCUAUCUUUAUGUCUGUCUGUCUCUCUGUCUUUAUGUCUAUCUGUCUGUUUGUCUGUCUCUCUAUCUUUGUCUGUCUCUCUAUCUUUAUGUCUGUCUGUCUAUCUUUAUGUUUGUCUGUCUGUCUAUCUUUAUGUCUGUCUGUCUGUCUGUCUCUGUCUUUAUGUUUGUGUGUCUGCCUCUCUCUAUCUUUAUGUCUGUCUGUCUCUCUAUCUUCAUGUCUGUCUGUCUCUAUCUUUAUGUCUGCCUGUCUGUCUGUCUCUAUCUUUAUGUCUGUCUGUCUGUCUCUGUCUUUAUGUCUAUCUGUCUGUCUCUCUGUAUUUAUGUCUGCCUGUCUGUCUUUAUGUCUGUCUGUCUGUCUGUCUGUCUCUCUAUCUUUAUGUCUGUCUGUCUCUCUUUAUGUCUGUCUGUCUCUGUCUUUAUGUCUGUCUGUCUAUCUUUAUGUCUGUCUCUGUCUUUAUGUCUGUCUGUCUGUCUGUCUGUCUAUUUUUAUGUCUGUAUUUUUAUUUUUUGCUUUUAUUCUCCUCUUUUAAUUGAUUUUAUGCUGGUUUUACGAUUGUUAUAUUUUAUUCUGAUGGUUUUAUGUUUUUAUUGUGUUGUGUUCAGCACCUUGGGUGUCUGCAUUGGUGGCAGAAGGGGCUUUAUAAAUAAAUGA